AUGUUAUAUUUAAAUAUAGAUUAUUGAUACUUUUAAAAUGAUCUACCUUAACUGCACAAUAAAUGCCUCGGACAGGACUUGGAAUACGAGCUAAGAGACUGCUAACUAUGACAACACGUCCUUUUGAUCGUCUAAUCAAAGAAGGAGGCACCCAUUCGCAUUCACCUAAUGUCACCCAAGCAGCAGCAUGUAUUAAUGCCCAUAAACCUAUUGUAAGAUAUUUACGAUUAUCAAAUAUAUAUUAUAAAUAAUAAGUUUUAUAUAUCUAUAAAAAAAUAUAAAUUUGAACCUGGUGCACCAUCUGGUAAGUUUUCAUUUACAUAAAGAAAUGUCGAAUGAAUAUCAUGCUCACUAGUAAUAUCUAAUUGCAAUAUAUGUAAUCUACCAGAAGCUUCCUGUUUUAAUUUUUGCAUUGUCUCUUCAUUCUCAACUUUUGCACUAAAUCCAGCAAAUACUGUAAACCCCUUUAGAAAUAAAUUCUGUAUAUAUAGAACACACUAGAAAUGAAUAAUAACAAUCGUAACAAGAAUACAUAGAAAUUAUCUUACCAGUUCAUCUAAUUGUUUACUUAAAGUAUAUCCAACUCUUGAAUCACAACCUGUAAUAAGAACUGCUUUUCCUGCGGCAGUUACCUGUGGGAAAUAUAUUUUUGUACCAUUAUAUGCUUAUAUAUUAACAUUGUAGAAUAUAAUCUCUCUCUUACACACACACACACACACACACGCGCGCGUGUACUUAUAUUAAAAUUAAGAAGUAAAUAUUAAUAUAAUAUUAAAUGUGUGAAAUAUAAGCGAUAUAUAUAGUCUGUACUUAUGCUUUGUAAUCUUAUGGAUUAAUAAACACAUGUUUUUAAUGA